GACGAACGCUGGCGGCGUGCUUAACACAUGCAAGUCGAGCGGUAAGGCCCUUUCGGGGGUACACGAGCGGCGAACGGGUGAGUAACACGUGGGUGACCUGCCCUUAGCUCUGGGAUAAGCCUGGGAAACUGGGUCUAAUACCGGAUAUGACUCCAUAACGCAUGUUGUGGGGUGGAAAGCCUUGUGCGGCUAGGGAUGGGCCCGCGGCCUAUCAGCUUGUUGGUGGGGUGAUGGCCACCAAGGCGACGACGGGUAGCCGGCCUGAGAGGGCGACCGGCCACACUGGGACUGAGACACGGCCCAGACUCCUACGGGAGGGCAGCAGUGGGGAA
rnacentral:rRNA from 1 species